UUUUGUCUCGCUCUAGAAGUGACGCGUGUGCGCGCUCGCAGCCCUGAAGGCGCUACUUUCCAUACAAAGUGAAUAGGCCUAUAUUAUAAUUACAAAGUGAACAUAUUAUAAUUGUAGAAUUUAUUUCUUUUUACGCAAGGUUAACAGGAAAGACAUAACUCUGAAAUGAAAGAGCUUCUCUCAAUCCGAUCGGAUAUGCUCUAUUAUCCCAAGUGACGUCACACAGACUAACGGCAUUUAACGGUGGCGAUAUCGCUAGUGAGUCGCCAAAGAUGCUGGAAGAGAAGAAGCAUGUAUGCACGAGAGACGUUGUGGGACCAUUUGAUGUUUUUGACGUGCAAGUGGUUGGAGAGUUCUUUUGAUUUUGGACUUGGAAGCCUCCACAGACAGUGGGGAAUUUGACAUUUCCCCCAGCCGUUUGACCACUUGAGUAAGUGGCUGCUUUCCUGACCUUACAAGACGUUUCAGUUUCCCAAAAUCGGUUCCGGUAGAUGCACCAUUGAAUGUAUAUUGUACACCAUGAAGUGAUUUAUUUUGUUUCUCCAACAAAGUAUGUCAUCAGCUCUUUACAGUAGCUGUUGUGGUCCACUGCAAGAGUAGGGCAGAGCAGAAGACCCAAGGCAACACUGAACGCCAUGAAAUGUUCGUACAACUGGUCCGGCAGAAUUCCCUUCAGCACCACUGUAUACAGGUUCCUUGGUUUUUGGGCAAAACAGCUUGGAAUGACCUCCUUCCCUUGGAGUGACAGCAGCCAUUGGGUCACUUCAUUUAUUUGCCCAGCAGACAUUCUCACCUUUCUGUCUCCUCUAACCCACUCUGUGAUGAGCUUUUUCAUUAUACCCAGGCAGGCUUGGUGCAUGGAGUCGAUUGAAAAUUGCUCUACCAUGUCCAGUGGGAGGUUCAAAAAUGGAGACAUUGGAAUGUCUUCAUUCUCCUGACGUCUUGUCAUUUCAGCACGGUUUGCUGGUUUGGUGGGACCAAUUGGCAGUGUUACUGGGAAGACAUUGAUGGGUGACAGGUGAAUGGCACAGCGGAUGGGCCAUGACGUCUUAUCAUGUGUCAUUGGUGCAUAGAAUGAGGUUGUUCACCUCUGGGUGUUCAUCUGUUUCCUUAUUUGGCUGGUUUGGAAGGAUUACAGAAAAGACACAGAUGGUUGAAUGGUCAAUGACACAAAACAGGCAGAAGAAAUACAACACAAGUACAAGGGUUAAGUUAAACAUGAACUUUUCGUAGUGUCCAUGGAAAUGUGCAAAACCAAUCUGACUGGCUUCUAGUUAAUCCUGCCUGACUGUGUAGUGUCAUUUUAACAUAAAGCUUCCAGAGCCCUCCAAGUGUCAGUCUCCAGCGUUGCAGGCUCAUGGACAUGUGCUACAAAAAUUCUUGGCGAAACUCUCUGCAAAAAAAAUAAACCUAUAUAUAAUUUACUCAUUACUACAUGUGACAAUAGUGUUUAUAGCACCUUAAAUUGUAAUUUACUUUCCCUAAUGUUGCUCCAGUCAUGUAUGACUUUUUGUUUCAUGGAACAACACCUAGUUGUGAGCUGUCGACAAAGCCCUUAAGACCACAGUAGAAGUUGUAACAAUUUAAAACAUUAACCCCCCCCCCAGCAUGAAAUCAGCAUUACAAUGUUUCCAAUAUGCUUCAAAUGUAUUAUCUCCCUUUAAUAGUGCUGCAGCUGCUCACCAAGGCUCUCUCAAUUUAAAAUGGACACACUAUCCCUGACAUCGCUGCCUAUCACACUGUUUUAUUGUGUAUGGGGAUGUUCUUUAUGUUGAUUUUGAGUGAUGUUGAUUAUUUUGUUGCUUACUGUUGUGUACAUGAAGCUGAAACCAUUCUUUACACUCUUGCCCCCCCCCCCCCCCCACCCUUUUUUUGGUCCUGCUUUAAAACUAUUUCCCCAGUUAUAUCUUUUUAAUGCUGUAACAAGACCUUGUUCUGUUGUUCCAUUUGUUCCUGUUUUAAUAAAACAUUUUAAAAAUGAA